rnacentral:tRNA from 1 species
UUAUUGGGCUCAGUGGUAGAGUGCUUGCCUCUAAUGCGUGAGGCCCUGGGUUCGGUCCCCAGCACCACAUAAA